AGUGAACGCUGGCGAUAGGCCUAACACAUGCAAGUCGAACGGCAGCACAGUAAGAGCUUGCUCUUACGGGUGGCGAGUGGCGGACGGGUGAGGAAUACAUCGGAAUCUACUUUUUCGUGGGGGAUAACGUAGGGAAACUUACGCUAAUACCGCAUACGACCUACGGGUGAAAGCAGGGGAUCUUCGGACCUUGCGCGAUUGAAUGAGCCGAUGUCGGAUUAGCUAGUUGGCGGGGUAAAGGCCCACCAAGGCGACGAUCCGUAGCUGGUCUGAGAGGAUGAUCAGCCACACUGGAACUGAGAAACGGUCCAGACUCCUACGGGAGGCAGCAGUGGGGAAUAUUGGACAAUGGGCGCAAGCCUGAUCCAGCCAUACCGCGUGGGUGAAGAAGGCCUUCGGGUUGUAAAGCCCUUUUGUUGGGAAAGAAAAGCAGCAGGUUAAUACCCCGCUGUUCUGACGGUACCCAAAGAAUAAGCACCGGCUAACUUCGUG
rnacentral:rRNA from 1 species